rnacentral:rRNA from 1 species
AGAGUUUGAUCCUGGCUCAGGAUGAACGCUAGCGACAGGCUUAACACAUGCAAGUCGAGGGGCAGCGGGGGUAGCAAUACCCGCCGGCGACCGGCGCACGGGUGAGUAACGCGUAUGCAACUUACCUAUCAGAGGGGGAUAACCCGGCGAAAGUCGGACUAAUACCGCAUGAAGCAGGGGCCCCGCAUGGGGAUAUUUGCUAAAGAUUCAUCGCUGAUAGAUAGGCAUGCGUUCCAUUAGGCAGUUGGCGGGGUAACGGCCCACCAAACCGACGAUGGAUAGGGGUUCUGAGAGGAAGGUCCCCCACAUUGGUACUGAGACACGGACCAAACUCCUACGGGAGGCAGCAGUGAGGAAUAUUGGUCAAUGGGCGUAAGCCUGAACCAGCCAAGUCGCGUGAGGGAUGAAGGUUCUAUGGAUCGUAAACCUCUUUUAUAAGGGAAUAAAGUGCGGGACGUGUCCCGUUUUGUAUGUACCUUAUGAAUAAGGAUCGGCUAACUCCGUGCCAGCAGCCGCGGUAAUACGGAGGAUCCGAGCGUUAUCCGGAUUUAUUGGGUUUAAAGGGUGCGUAGGCGGCCUUUUAAGUCAGCGGUGAAAGUCUGUGGCUCAACCAUAGAAUUGCCGUUGAAACUGGGGGGCUUGAGUAUGUUUGAGGCAGGCGGAAUGCGUGGUGUAGCGGUGAAAUGCUUAGAUAUCACGCAGAACCCCGAUUGCGAAGGCAGCCUGCCAAGCCAUGACUGACGCUGAUGCACGAAAGCGUGGGGAUCAAACAGGAUUAGAUACCCUGGUAGUCCACGCAGUAAACGAUGAUCACUAGCUGUUUGCGAUACACUGUAAGCGGCACAGCGAAAGCGUUAAGUGAUCCACCUGGGGAGUACGCCGGCAACGGUGAAACUCAAAGGAAUUGACGGGGGCCC